rnacentral:RNase_P_RNA from 1 species
GAAGCUGGCUAGGCAACCGCCGGGUACGCAAGUACCGGGAGGAAAGUCCGGGCUCCGUAGAGCAGGAUGCCGGUUAACGACCGGACGCCGUGAGGCGAUGGAAAGUGCAACAGAGAACAGACCGCCGAUGGCUCAUUCGUGAGAUCAGGCAAGGGUGAAACGGCGAGGUAAGAGCUCACCGCGGACGUGGUAACACGGACGGCACGGCAAACCCCAUCCGGAGCAAGACCAAAUAGGGAAGCAACAGGCGUGGCUCGCGCUGCUUCCGGGUAGGUUGCUUGAGCGGCGUGGCAACACGUCGCCUAGAGGAAUGGUUGCCCACGACAGAACCCGGCUUAUCGGCCAGCUUCACCU